UGGGGAAUAUUGGACAAUGGACCAAAAGUCUGAUCCAGCAAUUCUGUGUGCACGAUGAAGGUCUUCGGAUUGUAAAGUGCUUUCAGUUGGGAAGAAGCAAGUGACGGUACCAACAGAAGAAGCGACGGCUAAAUACGUGCCAGCAGCCGCGGUAAUACGUAUGUCGCAAGCGUUAUCCGGAUUUAUUGGGCGUAAAGCGCGUCUAGGCGGAAAAAUAAGUCUGAUGUUAAAAUGCGGGGCUCAACUCCGUAUUGCGUUGGAAACUGUUUUUCUAGAGUACUGGAGAGGUGGGCGGAACUACAAGUGUAGAGGUGAAAUUCGUAGAUAUUUGUAGGAAUGCCGAUGGAGAAGUCAGCUCACUGGACAGAUACUGACGCUAAAGCGCGAAAGCGUGGGGAGCAAACAGG
rnacentral:rRNA from 1 species